AUGCCGUCUCACCAGGUGAGUGGUGUUUAUGGACAGUCACUGACCUCUGAGUCUGUGGUGAAGAAUCCUGGACAGUCUGUCACUCUGUCCUGUACUGUGUCUGGAUUCUCUUUGAGCAGCUAUUACAUGCACUGGAUCCAUCAGAAACCAGGGAAAGGACUGGAGUGGGUUGGAUUCAUUAACAGCAGUACUGCUAUGGCAUUUGCCCAGUCUCUCCAGGGCCAGUUCUCCAUCACCAAAGACACCAUGUACCCUGUUUCUCUGUUACUGCUGCUGGUGGCGUCAUCCUGUGUCCAGUGUCAGGUUAUCCUCACACAGUCUGACCAGUCAGUGGAAGCGUCACCUGGUGGAUCUCAUAAACUGACCUGUACAGCCUCUGGGUUUGACUUUGGUGGCGCCUGGAUGGCUUGGGUCAGACAGGCUCCUGGAAAAGGACUGGAAUGGGUGUCAACAAUUAAAGGUGACAGUAGUGGCAAAUAUUACUCCAGUGGUGUUCAGGGAAGGUUCACCAUCUCCAGAGACAACAAUAAGAAACAGCUCUAUCUACAGAUGAACAGUCUGAAGACUGAAGACACAGCUGUGUAUUAC